AGAGUUUGAUCCUGGCUCAGAAUCAACGCUGGCGGCGUGCCUAACACAUGCAAGUCGAACGAGAAAGUGGAGCAAUCCAUGAGUAAAGUGGCGUACGGGUGAGUAACACGUGGAUCAUCUACCUCUUGGUGGGGAAUAACCCUGGGAAACCGGGGCUAAUACCGCAUAAGCCUGCGAAGGGAAAGCAGCAAUGCGCCGAGAGAGGAGUCCGCGGCCGAUUAGCUUGUUGGUAGGGUAAUGGCCUACCAAGGCAAUGAUCGGUAGCCGGCCUGAGAGGGCACACGGCCACACUGGCACUGAAACACGGGCCAGACUCCUACGGGAGGCAGCAGUGGGGAAUCUUGCACAAUGGGGGCAACCCUGAUGCAGCGACGCCGCGUGAGCGAUGAAGCCCUUCGGGGUGUAAAGCUCUUUCGGCAGGAACGAUAAUGACGGUACCUGCAGAAGAAGCUGCGGCUAACUACGUGCCAGCAGCCGCGGUAAUACGUAGGCAGCAAGCGUUGUUCGGAGUUACUGGGCGUAAAGAGUGUGUAGGCGGUUCUCUAAGUUCCGUGUGAAAUCUCCCGGCUCAACUGGGAGGGUGCGCGGAAAACUGGAGGGCUUGAGUAUGGGAGAGGAAAGCGGAAUUCCUGGUGUAGCGGUGAAAUGCGUAGAUAUCAGGAGGAACACCUGCGGUGUAGACAGCUUUCUGGACCAUCACUGACGCUGAGACACGAAAGCGUGGGUAGCAAACAGGAUUAGAUACCCUAGUAGUCC
rnacentral:rRNA from 1 species